rnacentral:rRNA from 1 species
UGCAAGUCGAGCGGAACGAUCCUAGCUUGCUAGGAGGCGUCGAGCGGCGGACGGGUGAGUAAUGCAUAGGAAUCUGCCCGGUAGUGGGGGAUAACUUGAGGAAACUCAAGCUAAUACCGCAUACGCCCCAAGGGGGAAAGCAGGGGAUCUUCGGACCUUGCGCUAUCGGAUGAGCCUAUGUCGGAUUAGCUAGUUGGUGAGGUAAUGGCUCACCAAGGCCGCGAUCCGUAGCUGGUCUGAGAGGAUGAUCAGCCACAUCGGGACUGAGACACGGCCCGAACUCCUACGGGAGGCAGCAGUGGGGAAUAUUGGACAAUGGGCGAAAGCCUGAUCCAGCCAUGCCGCGUGUGUGAAGAAGGCCUUCGGGUUGUAAAGCACUUUCAGCGAGGAAGAACGCUUGUGGGUUAAUACCCCGCAAGAAGGACAUCACUCGCAGAAGAAGCACCGGCUAACUCCGUGCCAGCAGCCGCGGUAAUACGGAGGGUGCAAGCGUUAAUCGGAAUUACUGGGCGUAAAGCGCGCGUAGGCGGGCUUGAUAAGCCGGUUGUGAAAGCCCCGGGCUCAACCUGGGAACGGCAUCCGGAACUGUCAGGCUAGAGUGCAGGAGAGGAAGGUA